CAAAAGCUGAGCGCUGUUUAAACCUUCUCCGCUUGUCCUUUGAGUUUCUGGAGCCUUCCAACUCUAGUGAGGUUUUCACAGCUCCAUUCCUCUGCUCAAAGUAUUUCUCUUCAUGUGAUUUAUUCCUGGCACCAUUGGCUCUUCGUGAUUACUCAGAGCCAAGGAGCCUAACAGAGUUCUGCUUCCUCCAGUGUUUCACUUCUAUCUGAUCAGAAUUGUAGAACAUGAUCCCCUGCACAAGAAAACAGCCUAUUUCUAAAGGCUUUUCUGAGAACCUCUUACAUGUAAGAUCCUGCUCAGCAUGAAAACAGGGCAUCAUUAUCUAUCAGGGAAGAAUGCCACAGACCUGCAGGCUGAGAAACGAAUGCAGAAGGGUUAUACCAGGAUGCUUUUACAUUUUGGAUGGCUGUACAGGAGUGCCUCUUGAGCUGCCUGAGGGACUGCUGGAUCAUCUUCUUUCAGGACUGUUCAAAAAUGUGCUGCUAUGGAUUCACAUUAGAAGUCAGAACCAAGGAAAGAAAUGCAUGUUGUGCCUGGAAUAGAUGAUGGUGACGGUCCACUUGGUCAUCAGGUCCUAGGGGAAGCUGUUUACCAGCAUGAGACAUGAUUCAGCCCUAGAGCACAAAGUUCUUCUGUGCCAGAGCAGCAGAACUGCUGACCCCAGUGUUCUCUAUAGGGCAUUAGUUUAUGUUUUGGUAGGUUGGGCCAAUACCGUUGAGUGCCAUGAGGACAAAGAAAGCAACUACAAACUUGUCUGCCUUCCAAAUGGCAACCACGUGAAAAAGAGAGGAUAGAGGUAAUGUUUCCAAUUAAUCCAUGCUGUAGGGAGAUCUGAUGCUACAUAGCUAUGUAAAACCCACCAAUUUGCCUUUGCUUUACUUUUCUUCCAAGUGCACGUAUCAUAGAAGAAAAUAAAUUUAUUCUAAAAAAAAUUGUCUAAAGUUAU
rnacentral:lncRNA from 1 species